AGGAUUAUACUUUCAGGGGUCAUUUGUAUAGUUACUAGAGAAGUUUCUUGGAAUAUGUUGGGUACCAGAAAUGUGAUAAUGAAACAGAACAUCCUCUCCUGAGCAUGAAGCUGGUUUUGCGCAUUGCUCUGUCAGCUACUUUUUGCCAUUGAUGAUGGCUCAUACCUUCUCUAAGAUGGUAUGAAGGCGAGGGUGUAAACUGAG